rnacentral:rRNA from 1 species
AGUCCUGGCUAACUCCGUGCCAGCAGCCGCGGUAAUACGGAGGGGGCUAGCGUUGUUCGGAAUUACUGGGCGUAAAGCGCACGUAGGCGGACCAGAAAGUUGGGGGUGAAAUCCCGGGGCUCAACCCCGGAACUGCCUCCAAAACUCCUGGUCUUGAGUUCGAGAGAGGUGAGUGGAAUUCCGAGUGUAGAGGUGAAAUUCGUAGAUAUUCGGAGGAACACCAGUGGCGAAGGCGGCUCACUGGCUCGAUACUGACGCUGAGGUGCGAAAGCGUGGGGAGCAAGCAGGAUUAGAUACCCUGGUAGUCCACGCCGUAGACGAUGAAUGCCAGUCGUCGGAAAGUAUACUUGUCGGUUGACACACCUAACGGAUUAAGCAUUCCGCCUGGGGAGUACGGUCGCAAGAUUAAAACUCAAAAGGAAUUUGACGGGGGGCCCGCACAAAGCGGUGGAGCAUGUGGUUUAAUUCAAAGCAACGCGCAGAACCUUACCAACCCUUGACAUCCUGAUCGCGGUUAGUGAAGACACUUUCCUUCAGUUCGGCUGGAUCAGUGACAAGUGCUGCAUUGGCUGUCGUCAACUUCGUUGUCGUGAAAAUGUUCGGGUUAAGUCCGGCAACGAAGCGCAACCCCACGUCCUUAGUUGCCAUCAUUCAGUUGGGCACUCUAGGGAAACUGCCGAUGAUAAGUCGGAGGAAGGUGUGGAUGACGUCAAGUCCUCAUGGCCCUUACGGGUUGGGCUACACACGUGCUACAAUGGCAGUGACAAUGGGUUAAUCCCUAAAAGCUGUCUCAGUUCGGAUUGGGGUCUGCAACUCGACCCCAUGAAGUCGGAAUCGCUAGUAAUCGCGUAACAGCAUGACGCGGUGAAUACGUUCCCGGGCCUUGUACACACCGCCCGUCACACCAUGGGAAUUGGUUCUACCCGACGACGCUGCGCUAACCCUACGGCAGGCAGGCGGCCACGGUGGGAUCAGUCACUGGGGUGAAAGCC